ACCAAGCUAACUACAGGAAUCCAGGGCAGUAUGCAGGCAUAAGAGGUCCAGGAAGAGCAGAACAGAAGACAGUUGUGUGGAGAGCAAGUGAAGAGAGGCACUGAAGACAAACUCUCCCAUCCUUCUGACUUUACCUGGUCCCAGUCCUGGGUGAGCAACUCACAUAACCUUAGGCUUUGAGAUGGUUUGGCCUAUCAUGGGCCCUGAGAGAAUAUUGGACAAAAAUGUUGUUCUUUAGAGUUUAUGGAGAAAGAAACAGAAACAGGAUUUGGUUAUUAUUUUGAAGUGGGCAGAAAAACUGAGGAGCAACCUAACUGCACCAUUCAAUAGAUUAUAAUGCAAACAAGGACCAGAAAUGGCUACUGUCAGAAGUGAGUGAGAAACAAAGCCUGGGGAAAGGAUGUAGGAUCACAGGAGGUGGAACUGAUGGGAUUAAUAAGAAACCAGGCAUGAGAAGCCAUGCAGAUGUAAAUUUGGAAAUCAACAUAUUGAUAGUUGGAGUCACUGGAGUAGGUAAGGGCCCAGGAAAAUUGUGAGGUGAGAAGAAGCCAAAGAUAAGUUCCUG
rnacentral:lncRNA from 10 species